AAUCUGUUGUUUGAAGAAGAAAAUGGAAGUCGGAUUUCUGCCGGAGAAGAAUCGGUGGUUCGACGUUUGUAAUAUUGAUGCUGAUGAAGGAUCUGUAUAUUUCUUCCAUGGAAAACGAAACGAUGGAUUCUGUGUGUAAGAGUUCAGUACCUAGCUAAAGGAUUUAUACUAAGUGGAAACGAUGCCAAUAAUAUACAACUAUGUUUGACAUUGGAGAGGCUAAGCCUUUCUUUCAGAUAGCUGGAAAUGUGAGUAAAGAACUUACUCUCAAGUGUUUCUCAAAAUCUACUCUCCAUGUGAGCUCUUCAACACGCUUCUCCAACUUGUCCUUUGCUUCUUGCAGUGCCCCAGUUUCUCUUGCAGCCUGCAGGAUAUAAAUUUCCAUAUGACGGACUUAGUUUUCUUACAUGGAUAUCAUAAGGAUGUCUUUUUGUUCUUAACAUUGGUGACUGGUUCUAGUUAUUUAGUGGAUGGUAAUAAGAAAAAGAUGAUUCACCAUUUUCAGCUUUCUAAGUUCCCUUCUUGCAACCUUUGAUCUCCAGAGACAUUGUAGUAUAAGUGUCGCUUUCUUCUGUUGCUUAUAGGCAGAAAGUGCAUGGUUUCCUCUCCAUUGUGUCUUUAAACAAGAUAAAUAAAGAAGUAUUAGUGCUGCCUAUGAGUUAUUACUGAUACUAGACAAUUUCUUGGCCUUUAAUUGUUCAUAUACUAUUCUCUGUUUAAGACAGUCUAUUACCUGAA